rnacentral:rRNA from 1 species
AGCGAACGCUGGCGGCAGGCUUAACACAUGCAAGUCGAACGGGCAUCUUCGGAUGUCAGUGGCAGACGGGUGAGUAACACGUGGGAACGUACCCUUCGGUUCGGAAUAACUCCGGGAAACUUGAGCUAAUACCGGAUACGCCCUUUUGGGGAAAGGUUUACUGCCGAAGGAUCGGCCCGCGUCUGAUUAGCUUGUUGGUGGGGUAACGGCCUCCCAAGGCGACGAUCAGUAGCUGGUCUGAGAGGAUGAUCCGCCACACUGGGACUGAGACACGGCCCAGACUCCUACGGGAGGCAGCAGUGGGGAAUAUUGGACAAUGGGCGCAAGCCUGAUCCAGCCAUGCCGCGUGAGUGAUGAAGGCCUUAGGGUUGUAAAGCUCUUUUGUCCGGGACGAUAAUGACGGUACCGGAAGAAUAAGCCCCGGCUAACUUCGUG